AGGGUUUGAUCAUGGCUCAGGAUGAACGCUAGCGGCAGGCCUAACACAUGCAAGUCGAGGGGUAACAGAGGGUGCUUGCACCUUGCUGACGACCGGCGCACGGGUGCGUAACGCGUAUGCAACCUACCUUCUACAGGGGGAUAGCCCAGAGAAAUUUGGAAUAAUACCCCAUACGAUCUUUACUUGGCAUCGAGUAAAGAAGAAAACUUUUGUGGUAGAAGAUGGGCAUGCGUCCUAUUAGUUAGUUGGUGAGGUAACGGCUCACCAAGACAUCGAUAGGUAGGGGCCCUGAGAGGGGGAUCCCCCACACUGGUACUGAGACACGGACCAGACUCCUACGGGAGGCAGCAGUGAGGAAUAUUGGACAAUGGGGGCAACCCUGAUCCAGCCAUGCCGCGUGCAGGAAGACUGCCCUAUGGGUUGUAAACUGCUUUUAUACAGGAAGAAACUGCGCUACGUGUAGCGUACUGACGGUACUGUAAGAAUAAGGAUCGGCUAACUCCGUGCCAGCCGCCGCGGUAAUAC
rnacentral:rRNA from 1 species